GUUAUAUUUGUGUUUUGCGCCUCUAAACGUCCAUAUUAUGUUGUAGAUCAUCUUGACAAAUCCUAAAACCUUAUAACCCUCUUUCAUCCUUACAAUACUUUAUUUUCCAUCCUAAGAACUGUCGAAUCAUCGGAGGACAAUGUCUUAUCAUCCCACGGUCAAUUACUUGACCGAUGUUGAUGUUUGAUAUUUCUCCGCUUCUUAUAACUAAAAUAUGUUUUCUUGGAUGGAUUUGGACCUGAGGACUCAGCAUGUCAAUAGCACCAAUAAUCUUGUGCCAUCUU